CCAUUCAUUUAAAGAGUGCGUAACAGCUCACUAGUCAAGAGAUCUUGCGUGGAAAAUGUAACGGGGCUAAAACGUUAUACCGAAGAUAUGGAUUACACGCUAAGUACAAAGUUAAAGUUGUGUUACAAUCAAUUUAUGGAAAAUGAGAUUUACGUAGGUAGCGUUUAUAAACACUAUAAAGGCAAUAAGUAUGUUGUUGUAAGUAUAGCUGUUCAUACUGAGACGCUUGAAGAGCUUGUAGUUUAUCGAGCCAUUUAUGGCGACGGAGAAUUAUGGGCUAGACCUAAGAAAAUGUUUUUAGAUAAUAUUGAAAAGAACGGAAAGAUCAUUCCAAGGUUUAAAUUGAUUAAAAAACUUUGAUUUUGUUCUUAGUGUGUAGUGGUAGAGGAGCGUUCCUAUCAGCAGUGAAGUCGAAUCGGAAGGUUCGGUGGAGCGGUAGGAAGUGAGAAUGCUGGAAUGAGUAACCAUAAGAGAGGUGAGAAUCCUCUCGGCCGUAAGAGCAAGGUUUCCUGAGCCAUGGUAAUCAUCUCAGGGUUAGUCGGGCCUAAGCCGAGGCGCAGAGCGUAGGCGAUGGACAUCAGGUUAAUAUUCCUGAACCGGUUAAGUUUUGUACACUGUUCACGGGGAAGUAAUCGAAGCGGAUUCAUGGUUUAUCCGUCCAACCGAGCGGGAACGCAAAGGGAGUGAAAGUAACUCUUCGGAGUUGCGAUUUUGGUGAAAGCCCUGGCUAGAAAAGCAGGUGUACGCGUGGACUUAGCCGCCCGUACCGCAAACCAACACAGGUGCUCGAGUCGAGUAGACUCAGGCUUACGAGCGAACCUUCGCUAAGGAACUCGGCAAUACAGCGACCGUAACUUCGGGAUAAGGUCUGCCCCCACUUCGGUGGAUAUCAGCCGCGUUCACUCAGUGAAUAUUAGGUUAAAGAGUACAUUUUUAAUCACAAAACGAAUUUUCUGAGAUAGAGCAAACGAAUUGUUCUUUUGAACGCGAACCUCUGACAUCUAACGAUGUGGGGGCCGCAGCAAAAGAGCCCACGGAACUGUUUAUCAAAAACACAGGUCUCUGCUAACACGAAAGUGGAUGUAUAGGGGCUGACUCCUGCCCAAUGCUGGAAGGUUAAGGGGAGCGCUUCACGGUGCGAACUGAAGCCCUAGUCAAUGGCGGCGGUAACUAUAACCGUCCUAAGGUAGCGAAAUUCCUUGUCAGGUAAGUUCUGACCCGCACGAAUGGAGUAAUCAUGUGGGCACUGUCUCAGCGAAGGACUCGGUGAAAGUGCAUUGGCGGUAAAGAUGCCGUCUGUCCGUACCAGGACGAAAAGACCCCAUGGAGCUUUACUACAGCUUUACAUUGAAUAUGGUUUCAACAUGUGUAGCAUAGGUGGGAGACUUUGAAGCAGAUACGCCAGUAUUUGUGGAGUCACCAAGUGAAAUACCACCCUUGUUGUGAUUGUGUUCUCACGCUGACCGUUAUCCGGUUAGCGGACCGUGUAUGGUGGGUAGUUUAACUGGGGCGGUUGCCUCCUAAAGAGUAGCGGAGGCGUUCAAAGGU
rnacentral:rRNA from 1 species